GCUCAGCUCCUGUCUAGGCUGCCUGUCUAUUUAAAAAUUGAUUUGUUGUUAUUUACAUGCCGCAUUUUUUAUCAGGAUCCCCCUUUAAAAUUCUGCUAUUCACUUUCUAUCGAAUGUUAUCAUUGUCAGCGGCGAUAAUUGUGGGAAAGGAAGAGCCCCGCCUCCUGGCUGCUGCCAAUGAGAAUUCAAUUUGUAAGUGUCAAUGGCAGUUUAGUAGAUGUCACCUAUCUGCUACUUUUUCUUUUUUAUUCGUUUUUGUGCCUCUUCAUCUUCAUUUUUUUCGAGUUUCUCACAUUUUUAUUGGCAUUUUGUCCAGUGAACCGAAAAUCCCUAGUUGAUUUGGGAGAGCAACAAGUUUAGCCAAGGCUGAUGACCAGGAUAAUCAAUAAGGGGUGGGGGAGAGAGGGACAGAUUCGAAUCGGAAUGCGAUAAGCUUACACCGCGUGACUCUUUGUGCCACUGCGAAUGCGACGUGCAGCGCAACGGGACAUUUAACUGGGGAUGUUAACUCUGUAGGUAUGUGUGGGACGGCUUAGCUGUGCAGUUCGUUUGGGAUUGUCUGUAAUUGAAAUCAGUCGCUCAGAAAAAUCUCUCAAAAUUUGCCAGAAGCAUCGCCGUGGAAAUAAAUAACAAAUAGCUGAGUAUAUACCAUGUACAACUGAAAAAAUUAUAAAUAAUGGAAGAAAAAAAUUGAAAAGAUUGCCUUCAGAGUGCAUCGCUUUCAUUAUGAAUAGUUUAUGAUCUUUUUCGGAUGUUUUAGUUUUAGUUUUUAGCAAUUCAAGGAGAAAACUUUAUAAAGAUAUUUAAAAGUGAAUAAAUGUAAAUAUGACUAAA